AUUGAACGCUGGCGGAAUGCUUUACACAUGCAAGUCGAGCGGCAGCGCGUCCUUCGGGCUGUCGGCUAGCGGCGAACGGGUGAGUAAUGCAUCGGAACAUGCCCAGUCGUGUGGGCUAACACUUCGAAAGAAGUGCUAAUACCGCAUCCGUCCUGAGGUGGAAAGCGGGGGAUCUCAAGACCUCGCGCGAUUGGUUUGUCCGAUGUCAGAUUAGCUAGUUGGUGGGGUAAAGGCCUACCAAGGCGACGAUCUGUAGCUGGUCUGAGAGGAUGAUCAGCCACACUGGGACUGAGACACGGCCCAGACUCCUACGGGAGGCAGCAGUAGGGGAUUUUGGACAAUGGGGGCAACCGUGAGCCAGCCAUUGCGAGGGAGUGAAGAAGGCCUUCGGGUUGUAAAGCUCUUUCGGUAGGAACGAAACGGUGGGCUCUGACAUAGUCCGCUAAUGACGGUACCUGAAGAAGAAGCACCGGCUAACUACGUG
rnacentral:rRNA from 1 species